UGGCGGCAGGCUUAACACAUGCAAGUCGAGCGGUAGCAGAUCUAGCUUGCUAGAUGUUGACGAGCGGCGGACGGGUGAGUAACGCGUAGGAACCUGCCCAGUAGUGGGGGAUAGCCCGGGGAAACUCGGAUUAAUACCGCAUACGCUCUACGGAGGAAAGAGGGGCUUCGGGCUCUCGCUAUUGGAUGGGCCUGCGUGAGAUUAGCUAGUUGGUGAGGUAAUGGCUCACCAAGGCGACGAUCUCUAGCUGGUCUGAGAGGAUGAUCAGCCACACUGGGACUGAGACACGGCCCAGACUCCUACGGGAGGCAGCAGUGGGGAAUAUUGCACAAUGGGCGCAAGCCUGAUGCAGCCAUGCCGCGUGUGUGAAGAAGGCUUUCGGGUUGUAAAGCACUUUCAGUGGGGAGGAAGGCCUCGUAGUUAAUAGCUGCGAGGAUUGACGUUACCCACAGAAGAAGCACCGGCUAACUCCGUG
rnacentral:rRNA from 1 species